rnacentral:misc_RNA from 1 species
ACAAGCAUUAGCCUAGUACUCUGACUAGGCGGCCACAAUUUGACAUGAAGAGUUCGGUGUUGGAACAUUUGUGUUGUAGAAUCCAUGUCAAACUAACCCGAGACGAAGCGAGCAAUGUUAGAAACCCUAGAUGCUUCCACAGAAACAAACGGGAACUGAAAACCCUAAAAGUGUAAACUGAGUGUGCUUGAAAAAUUAAGAACAGGACGAAAUUGAUUAUUGGGGAAGGGAAUAAAGAGUUUGAAAAUGUGUAAUGUAG